rnacentral:rRNA from 1 species
CGGUUGAUCCUGCCGGAGGUUACUGCUAUCGGAGUUCGAUUAAGCCAUGCGAGUCUAAAGGUUUCUUCGGAAACCUUGGCGGACUGCUCAGUAACACGUGGAUAACCUACCCUUGGGACUGGGAUAACCCCGGGAAACUGGGGAUAAUACCGGAUAGAUCAGGGAUGCUGGAAUGCGCCUUGAUCCAAAGCUCCGGCGCCCAAGGAUGGGUCUGCGGCCUAUCAGGUUGUAGUGGGUGUAACGUACCUACUAGCCGACGACGGGUACGGGUUGUGAGAGCAAGAGCCCGGAGAUGGAUUCUGAGACACGAAUCCAGGCCCUACGGGGUGCAGCAGGCGCGAAACCUUUACAAUGUGCGAAAGCAUGAUAAGGGAACUCCGAGUGCCAGUAUCUAAUACUGGCUGUCCUUGUGCCUAAACCGCACAAGAUAGCAAGGGCCGGGUAAGACCGGUGCCAGCCGCCGCGGUAACACCGGCGGCCCGAGUGGUAGCCGCUAUUAUUGGGUCUAAAGGGUCCGUAGCCGGUUCGAUAAGUCCUCUGGGAAAUCUGGUUGCUUAACAAUCAGACUGCCAAGGGAUACUGUCGAACUUGAGACCGGGAGAGGUAAGAGGUACUUCAGGGGUAGGAGUGAAAUCUUGUAAUCCCUGGGGGACCAUCUGUGGCGAAGGCGUCUUACCAGAACGGGUCUGACGGUGAGGGACGAAAGCUGGGGGCGCAAACCGGAUUAGAUACCCGGGUAGUCCCAGCCGUAAACGAUGCUCGCUAUGUGUCAGGUACGGUGUGACCGUAUCUGGUGCCGUAGGGAAGCCGUGAAGCGAGCCACCUGGGAAGUACGGUCGCAAGACUGAAACUUAAAGGAAUUGGCGGGGGAGCAC